AGCUGCCAUAGGCAUGAAGGAAGUCUCUUCAUCUCACCUCCGGCCUAAGCUAGUCUCUAGUUAGUAUUCAGGCACACCUACCUCAGAAGAAUUUGAGAUGGAUCUUGCAAUAUCCGCCGUUACAGGUGACCUCGCCAGCCGAUUCAUCUCUUUCCUCAUGAACAAAUAUGCGGAUCAUCUGUACUCGGAGCAGAAGGUGGAGAGGCUACAGCAACUCUUGUUGAGAGUUCACACGGUCGUCGAGGAGGCAGAUGGACGGCACAUCACCAACUCUUGUAUGCUCAUGCAGUUGAAGCAGCUAUCGGCAGCCAUGUAUCAAGGGUACCAUGUCUUGGACAGCAUCAGGUACCGGCAACAAAAGGAGGCAUCCAAGGACUUGGUGAGCGAUUCAUUUACCUCGUCUGAUUAUAUCAUUCCAUUCAAACGUGCUCGCACAAGUUCUUCGACAAACAAGGCCACCAACUCGGAGUUACAAAGUGCACUUCAGAGUCUGGAAGCUGUUGUUGACCACAUGGUGGAGUUCGUCGUGCUUUUGGCCGGAUGCGAGCGCGUCUCCCGGAGACCGUAUGAUGCCUAUCUUCAGGUCGACAACUUCAUGUUUGGUCGGCAUGUCGAGAAGCAGAAGAUCAUCAACUUCUUGCUGCAACAGGACAUACCUGGUCCUCCGGCGGUACUACCGAUCAUUGGUGGACGUGGAGUUGGGAAGAAAACCCUUGUGGCACAUGUAUGCAGGUAUGACAGGGUGCGUUCUCACUUCACAGUUAUUUUGCACCUGAGUGGAGACGGUCUUACCAAAAUAACAGACAAUGAAAUUCCGUCAGGGAAGAUACUGGUAGUUGUCGAGUUUGCUUCUGAUGUAGAUGACGAUGACUGGAAAACAUUUUAUUCAUCUGUUACGAGCAUGGACAGAGGAAGCAAAGUGAUAAUCUUAGGCCGAAAUGAAAGCUUGAAGAAACUUGGGACUGUCCAGACUAUAUCUCUAAACCCUCUAGCAUUCGAGGAGUACAGGUACCUGCUCAAGAUGCUCGCAUUCGGAAGCAUGAACCCGGGAGACCAUCCGCAGUUAGCAACGAUAAUGGAAGAAUUCGCUGUGGUGUUCGAAGGAUCACUCGUUUCAGCUAACUUGCUUGGAUAUGCAGUAAGAAAGAAUCUGAAUGCCCAUUUCUGGCUUAGCACAUUGAACAAGAUCAGAAUCACAAGGAAGGUGAACAUAUCCAGGUCUGGCUGCCAUCCAAAUGGCCUUUUCGAUCAAGGCCGUCCGGUGCACUUCGGCCCUCACCACCUCUUGUCUCCUGCUACUCCAUCAUGCCUUAUACCCUCUGCUGGCUGUCCGGAUAGUAGUCUACCCAAAGUCAUAUUAGGGGACUUGCUAGCAGAAGCAUGCCAUAUUGUUCAACCAAAGGGAGAUUUUAGGCUGAUCUCUUGGGAAUCAAGGUUACCACCAUACACUGCGUUUGUUCAUCUGGUUCGCUUUGUUCCAAGUUGUGUGGAUGAUAAGCCUGAAGCAUCCUUGUCAGGGAAGAAGCGUCUGGGGCCAUCUGCCUAGUCUCAUGCCACAUAUCUUCAAAUAGCAUUUUUAUAUCUUAUGAGAUAUUUAUAGAUCUGAGUAUAAUGUAACGAUAAACAUACCGAAUGAUCAUACUCAGCUUCUUUUUCUUUUUAGUUUGGACAAGAGUCACAUGAAAAGAUAUGUAUGUGCCAUCGGUUGGUUCAUAGGGAUGGGUUCUGAAUUGGCAGAGUAUGUAUAGCAUUGAUUAUCUUGAUUGGUAUAGCUGUAUAAGAACCUUUAACUAUCUAUGUAAGAACAUGUAAU
rnacentral:rRNA from 1 species